rnacentral:rRNA from 1 species
AAUCAUUGGGCGUAAAGCGCGCGCAGGCGGAUCAGCAAGUCAGAUGUGAAAUCUCGGAGCUCAACUCCGAAACUGCGUCUGAAACUGCUAGUCUAGAAUGUCGGAGGGGGCAGGGGAAUUUCACGUGUAGGGGUAAAAUCCGUAGAGAUGUGAAGGAACACCGGAGGCGAAGGCGCCUGCCUGGACGACUAUUGACGCUGAGGCGCGAAAGCGUGGGGAGCAAACAGGAUUAGAUACCCUGGUAGUCCACGCCGUAAACGAUGAGCACUAGUUAUUGGAGGUAUUGACUCCUUCAGUGACGCAGCUAACGCAUUAAGUGCUCCGCCUGGGGAGUACGGUCGCAAGACUAAAACUCAAACAAAUUGACGGGGGCCCGCACAAGCGGUGGAUUAUGUGGUUUAAUUCGAAGCAACGCGCAGAACCUUACCUAGGCUUGAACUCCUACGAACCCGUUGUAAUGGACGGGGUGCCCGCAAGGGAAUGUACUGAGAGGUGCUGCAUGGCUGUCGUCAGCUCGUGUCGUGAAAUGUUGGGUUAAGUC